rnacentral:rRNA from 1 species
UACGGAGGAUUCAAGCGUUAUCCGGAUUUACUGGGUGUAAAGGGAGCGUAGACGGCAGCGCAAGUCUGGAGUGAAAUCCCAUGGCUUAACCAUGGAACUGCUUUGGAAACUGUGCAGCUGGAGUGCAGGAGAGGUAAGCGGAAUUCCUAGUGUAGCGGUGAAAUGCGUAGAUAUUGGGAAGAACACCAGCGGCGAAGGCGAUUUACUGGACUGUAACUGACACUGAGGCACGAAAGCGUGGGGAGCAAACAGG